UACGUAGGGGGCUAGCGUUGUCCGGAAUCAUUGGGCGUAAAGCGCGUGUAGGCGGUCCGGUAAGUCCGCUGUGAACGUCGGGGGCUCAACCCUCGGAUGCCGGUGGAUACUGUCGGGCUUGAGUACGGAAGAGGCGAGUGGAAUUCCUGGUGUAGCGGUGAAAUGCGCAGAUAUCAGGAGGAACACCAAUUGCGAAGGCAGCUCGCUGGGACGUUACUGACGCUGAGACGCGAAAGCGUGGGGAGCAAACAGG
rnacentral:rRNA from 1 species